rfam:Microgenomates (Gottesmanbacteria) bacterium GW2011_GWA2_47_9 TY16_C0014, whole genome shotgun sequence.
GGGGAUGAUUGAUUCGACGAGUGUGGCACAUUGAAAACUGCAAGCCGGCGACGACAAAAGAGCCGCAAAACUUUGUCAAAACAUAUCUGCUGAUUUAUCAGACAGAAAACAGGCACUCCGCGAGGAGCUCGCAGCUUUGCGAGGGUACUUCGGAAUGUCUUCUCGACCUGCGUUGGCAUUAGCUGCGUAAGUUGAGACGUUUGGUGACGAUUUUUCUCGGUGAAUCGCGCCAGGCGGAAACCCAGCCGGGACGUCAGGAGCCAACUGACCGAUUGGUUUCGGAGUAAAAAGGUCAACCUCCCGCCUUCAUUUUUGUCCGUUCGUAUUGUCGGCGGGAAACCAAACGGACUACGCUUGUAGAUGUUACCAAUGUGUGCAUUCGGACCCGAGUUCAUUACUCGGCAUCUCCACAG